rnacentral:rRNA from 1 species
AGAGUUUGAUCCUGGCUUAGGACGAACGCUGGCGGCGUGCUUCAUACAUGCAAGUCGAACGAUAAGGUCUCUUCGGAGAUACAUAAGUGGCGGACGGGUGAGUAAAAUGUAGAGAAUCUGCCCUAGAGUGGGGGACAACAGUUGGAAACGACUGCUAAUACCGCAUAUGAGCGUAGCUGAAAUGCUAUUCUUGAAAACUCCGGUGCUCUGGGAUGAGUCUGCAUCUGAUUAGCUAGUUGGGGGUGUAAUGGACCACCAAGGCGACGAUCAGUAGCUGGUUUGAGAGGAUGAUCAGCCACAAUGGGACUGAGACACGGCCCAUACUCCUACGGGAGGCAGCAGUAGGGAAUUUUGCGCAAUGGGGGAAACCCUGAACCGCAGCAACGCCGCGUGACCGAUGAAGCCCUUCGGGGUGUAAAGGUCUGUCAGUGGGGACGAAACUUGACGGUACCCACAGAGGAAGCAUCGGCUAACUCCGUGCCAGCCGCCGC